AUGCAGUCGAGGGGCAGCAUGAACUUAGCUUGCUAAGUUUGAUGGCGACCGGCGCACGGGUGAGUAACACGUAUCCAACCUUCCGUUUACUCAGGGAUAGCCUUUCGAAAGAAAGAUUAAUACCUGAUAGUAUGGUGAGAUUGCAUGAUAACACCAUUAAAGAUUUAUUGGUAAACGAUGGGGAUGCGUUCCAUUAGGUAGUAGGCGGGGUAACGGCCCACCUAGCCUGCGAUGGAUAGGGGUUCUGAGAGGAAGGUCCCCCACAUUGGAACUGAGACACGGUCCAAACUCCUACGGGAGGCAGCAGUGAGGAAUAUUGGUCAAUGGGCGAGAGCCUGAACCAGCCAAGUAGCGUGAAGGAUGAAGGUCCUACGGAUUGUAAACUUCUUUUAUACGGGAAUAAAGUUUCCUACGUGUAGGAUUUUGUAUGUACCGUAUGAAUAAGCAUCGGCUAACUCCGUGCCAGCAGCCGCGGUAAUACGGAGGAUGCGAGCGUUAUCCGGAUUUAUUGGGUUUAAAGGGAGCGCAGACGGGAGAUUAAGUCAGUUGUGAAAGUUUGCGGCUCAACCGUAAAAUUGCAGUUGAUACUGGUUUCCUUGAGUGCAGUUGAGGCAGGCGGAAUUCGUGGUGUAGCGGUGAAAUGCUUAGAUAU
rnacentral:rRNA from 1 species